GGGGGAGCGCUGGCGGGCGGCCAGCUGCCAUCAGAAUUAGCUCAUUGUUCAAUAUAAGCAGCGCUGGCAACCAAACCCCAGCCCGAGAGAGAGACUUUCCCCCAGCCACCCCCACCCCUUUUUUCUUUUUUCUCCAAGGCUGCACUUUGGAAGAGAUCAUGUAGAAAGGACAGAAAGUGAGCAGGGAGCGGGGGCUUUUGUCUAUUGUUCUCCUUGUGCUACUUGAGAGAAACUGCAAUCCCAAGACUUAACAGAAUCUAAAAAUGGUUUAUCAACCAAGGUUAACGAUUUGGGUUAGCCAGGAACUCUUUCCAACCAGCCGAGGGGAUGGGGGAUUUCCAAAGGAUUUCAGGCCUGAGAUUGUUUUCACAGCUGAAAAGGAACUGCCCAACACAAUGCUGCUGGAAAUUUGCCCAGCUCUUUGGUCUGUGCGGUGUGCCUGUUUGCAUGUGUAAGUUUCUCGUUUUCCCCACAUAUCCUGUAAUGAUACACAAGUAGCGAAUUUAGUCAACAAAAAAGCAAAAAUAUUACGGCAAGGAUGGAAUUUUCUGGAGUCCUGUGAAGGAACAUGUUUGUGCAGUCACUAAAAUUUAAACUAUUUCUUCAUUCUGAAAUUCUGUCUCGGGCAAAAUUCCCAGUUUGGCUCUAGCAGAGAUGAGGUACGUUUCCACUCCCAGGCCUGCCCCCGAGUCGCAGAGCCCUGCUGCAUGUGCCCUCACAGACGGCUCUGCUGGGUUUCUCUCUUUCUAGUGCCCCUCAAGGAGAGGGCACAGUUUGCCCCCAGGAACGGAUUUCGGCUCUGUGUUCAGCCUGAGAACUGCUAUUGCCCGUGGGCAGUGCAGAAGCGGCAGUUCACGUACUGGAAAGCAGAACUUCAUCUAUAAGCUGUGGCACAGACAGUGGGAAAGUGAUGGCAUGGCCGCAUUCUCAGCACAAGUAAAUGUAGCUAAUAGGGGCACUCCGUAAAAAAUCCUGCCUCAGAAGAGCCUAUGGAGGGAAAGACCCUAAAAAUUGCACUUUCUUGGUAGUUGUAUGACUGCUGUGAGUUUAUUUCUUAAUUCAGAAAUUCACAGCUUUCCUGUCAGAAAAACUUCGAAAAGAAGUAAUCUUUCUGUUUGAUGAACAUACCCUAAGUAGUAAAGCCCAUAAAUCAUCUUUACAAUUCUGAUCUCUUAAACACAAAAAACAGAUUUUUUUCCAAUCACUUACAAUAUAUUACUAGUUAAAAACAGUGGUUUGUUUAAGAUUCCAUUGUAACAUAUCAUCACCAAAGUAUUUAAGCACAUGGUUAGCCUUUAGUCCUCCUAUUGAUGCUUAACGUGAAAUGUAUAUUAAAGUGCUUUCCUAAAUUGGCAUAGACUUAAGCCGGUGGUGGCAAUGUUUAAGCUGAGAUAGCUGGCUAACGUGACACCAUUUCUUUACUUGUCCAGAGACCAUGAUAAUACAAUACAGUACAUUUAGAGUACCAGUAGGAAAAGAAUCAGUGAUGUUUUAGAGGAAAGUCACUUAUUAGUGUAUGCUAGCUGCUUAAGGUGUAAGGCAUUUAAAAGAUGAGAGGCCUAAGCUCUGAAAGGUCCUCUGUAAUAAUGAGAUGGACUUUCAAAUCUAAGAGAUCCUUUCCAUGUUAGAGGCCAAGUGGAGCCAUAAAAAGGAGCUUGAGAUUUAAAAAAAGCAAGCAAAGGAAUUCACUGGUAGAGUAUCCCAUUAAUGGUUUGGUUACCUGUGUCAGUACUGAGUUGCAUUUUUAAAAGGGGCUCAGUGCCAUCUUUAGAUUUGUGGCCGUGAGCUCUGCAUCAUCGAUCCGGAGAUGCUGUGCCUGCAUUUUUAUGCCUCGUGUGUGCAGGACAGGUAGUUGUGAGUUAUCAGCCCUCCUGGUAUGCCAAAGCAGCUGCAAAGCAACGUGCACAGGCACAGGUUUUGGGCUGUGCUGUGCCAGCCCUUGUGGAGGGGCUGAGCUCAGGAAGCCCCCAGCCUCUCCCCCACCGCUGUGUGUGAAGCGGCCGCACUCACCCUGCUUCUCCAGGAUGAAAUGUUUUCCUGGAAUGAGCCCAGGCGGUCAAGGAGUUGGAAAAUUUGGCCUGCAGAGAAACUGCUCGGUAUGGUGGUCGCAAGAAAAAAGCCCUUUGAGGAACAGCGGAUGGCGAGCUGUGGAAAGGGUUGUCACUCGAAAGCUUCACCCCACCCCACUUCACUAGGCUGGUUGGGGCUGCCCCAGCUGCUGCACAUGGCCAAACGCCCCAGCUUCAGCAGGAGUGGAGGGCUUGUCUCAACGCCUUUGUGCUUCGGCUGCCGGGGCACACUUGUUCAACUCAGAGUAAAGACAUUUCCUCAGAUGUGCUUGGGCUUGCUUAGUUUUUAAACAAUCUUUUCCUCCCUGUGGCAUUAGUAUUUACAGUUGAUUGAGCCAUGUUUGGUAGGUGUUUACUUCUAAACUACAGUUAGAGAACUCUAAAAACUUUAGGAUGGGAAAAGGGAGGGUGGACCCCAUCAAGCAGUCUUUGUAGAAGCAUAGCUAAUACUGUUUUUCUUCUCUGCAGGGAUAUCUUCCUAUCUCAAAGGAAGUAAAUCGCAAGAAGAAAAGUGAGGCUGAAGUGGCGUUCCUGACUCCAGUAAAUGGCUAUGGACACCA